CCCGCUGAACUUAAGCAUAUCAAUAAGCGGAGGAAAAGAAACUAACAAGGAUUCCCCUAGUAACUGCGAGUGAAGCGGGAAAAGCUCAAAUUUAAAAUCUGGCGGUCCUCUGGGCCGUCCGAGUUGUAAUCUGGAGAAGCGUUUUCCGCGUCGGACCGUGUACAAGUCUUCUGGAACGGAGCGUCAUAGAGGGUGAGAAUCCCGUCUCUGACACGGACCGCCGAUGCUUUAUGUGAUACGCUCUCGAAGAGUCGAGUUGUUUGGGAAUGCAGCUCAAAAUGGGUGGUAAAUUCCAUCUAAAGCUAAAUAUUGGCGAGAGACCGAUAGCGAACAAGUACCGUGAGGGAAAGAUGAAAAGCACUUUGGAAAGAGAGUUAAACAGUACGUGAAAUUGCUGAAAGGGAAACGCUUGAAGUCAGUCGCGUCGUCCAGGGAUCAACCUUGCUUUUGCUUGGUGCACUUUCUGGUUGACGGGUCAGCAUCAAUUUUGACCAUUGGAAAAAGAUCAAGGGAAUGUGACAUCUUUGGAUGUGUUAUAGCCCUUGGUUGCAUACGAUGGUUGGGAUUGAGGAACUCAGCACGCCGCAAGGCCGGGUUUUUAACCACGUACGUGCUUAGGAUGCUGGCAUAAUGGCUUUAAUCGACCCGUCUUGAAACACGG
rnacentral:rRNA from 1 species